GAACCUGUCCUCCAUCCAGCCCUCUGCAGCCGUGCGUCAGUACCUCCAGAGCUUCCAUGACAUUGUGAAUGAGGAGCCCAUCUACUGGCUGGUGUCUCUGCUGCCCAGAGCCCUGCUAAGACCUUACCUGGCAAAGAACCUGCCCCUGGGAGAGAGGACCAGACCAGGCCCCAGGCCCUGCCUCUACCCCUGGCUAAGCCUCUUCCCCUGCCCCUGCUACCAGUGGGGGGAGAGGACAUGAAGUCAGACCAGAGGAACCAGAAAGACAAGCUUCUACUGGAGAAGUACCAGGAUGUGAUAGAUGUCUUUAAGGCUGUCAACAUCUUCAGAGUCCAGAUGAUCAACGAGAAGGCUCUCUUCACCUCCAGGUGCGGUUAGCCCAACUUAGGUCUCCAGUUAGCCCGACUUAGGUCUACAGUUAGCCCGACUUAGGUCUACAAUUAGCCCGACUUAGGUCUACAAUUAGCAUGGUCCUGCUAUUUAAUUCUACAGUUAGCCUGGUCCUGCUAUUUAAUUCUACAGUUAGCCUGGUCCUGCUAUCUAAUUCUACAAUUAGCCUGGUCCUGCUAUCUAAUUCUACAGUUAGCCUGGUCCUGCUAUUUAAUUCUACAGUUAGCCAGGUCCUGCUUACUAAGUAUACAGUUAGCUUGGUCCUGCUAAACAAGUCUUGCCAGGUCUCCCUCGCAAAACAGGCUCUCAACCCUACGGAUCUCCAUAGCCUGGGUGCCAGUCUAAUUUGUGAUAUCAUUCUACUCCUUGUCAACAUAAUUUGGCAUAUGACAUGGAGUACAGGAAGUGGAAUCCCAACCAGGGAAUUUGGAUGUUGAAGUUGUGGGAACGUACAUUUUUGGUUUACCAUUGGUUCUGGGGAGGAAGCAAUAACUUUACUGAACGGUAAAACGGAAUUCUGAAAGCCUGUUCUGGGAACGUUAAGUUUUAGGUUCCAGGGAGGUUUCUGAGAACGUCUUACUAUGGUUCUAGGGAGGUUUCUGAGAACGUCUUACUAUGGUUCCAGUGACGUUUCUGAGAACGUCUUACUAUGGUUCCAGGGAGG
rnacentral:lncRNA from 1 species